AUUGAACGCUGGCGGCAGGCCUAACACGUGCAAGUCGAGCGGAUGAAGGGAGCUUGCUCCUGGAUUCAGCGGCGGACGGGUGAGUAAUGCCUAGGAAUCUGCCUGGUAGUGGGGGAUAACGUCCGGAAACGGGCGCUAAUACCGCAUACGUCCUGAGGGAGAAAGUGGGGGAUCUUCGGACCUCACGCUAUCAGAUGAGCCUAGGUCGGAUUAGCUAGUUGGUGGGGUAAAGGCCUACCAAGGCGACGAUCCGUAACUGGUCUGAGAGGAUGAUCAGUCACACUGGAACUGAGACACGGUCCAGACUCCUACGGGAGGCAGCAGUGGGGAAUAUUGGACAAUGGGCGAAAGCCUGAUCCAGCCAUGCCGCGUGUGUGAAGAAGGUCUUCGGAUUGUAAAGCACUUUAAGUUGGGAGGAAGGGCAGUAAGUUAAUACCUUGCUGUUUUGACGUUACCAACAGAAUAAGCACCGGCUAACUUCG
rnacentral:rRNA from 1 species